rnacentral:tRNA from 1 species
CCCCCUGUGGCUCAGUUGGUAGAGCAUGGUGUUUGUUUGCAAUGGUGUUUGCAACGCCAGGGUUGUGGGUUCGAUUCCCACGGGGGGC